rnacentral:sRNA from 1 species
UAGCAGCUAGCAAGUACACAGUUCGUCGA